UACGUAGGGGGCAAGCGUUGUCCGGAAUCAUUGGGCGUAAAGCGCGUGUAGGCGGUUCGGUAAGUCUGCUGUGAAAGUCCAGGGCUCAACCCUGGGAUGCCGGUCGAUACUGCCGGACUAGAGUUCGGAAGAGGCGAGUGGAAUUCCCGGUGUAGCGGUGAAAUGCGCAGAUAUCGGGAGGAACACCAAUGGCGAAGGCAGCUCGCUGGGACGUUACUGACGCUGAGACGCGAAAGCGUGGGGAGCAAACAGG
rnacentral:rRNA from 1 species